GUGCAGCCACAUACCAGAACCCUGAUUCAGCUUAUGCGGAUCCCAGGAACUAGGAGCAGAUAAUUAAGCAGACCUCCAAGGAGCUGAAUAGGGAGGCUCUGCAGCAGGGAUGUAUCCAGUACUGAAGCAAGGCAGAACUAGGAGAGCAAGGCACCAUACAAGAAAACAAGACCAAACUAGGAGAACAAGGAAAUACUAGAAAUAGACACCAUGC